UAAGGUGAUAUGAACCGUUAUAACCGGCGAUACCCGAAUGGGGAAACCCAGUGUGACUCGUCACACUAUCAUUAACUGAAUCCAUAGGUUAAUGAGGCGAACCGGGGGAACUGAAACAUCUAAGUACCCCGAGGAAAAGAAAUCAACCGAGAUUCCCCCAGUAGCGGCGAGCGAACGGGGAGGAGCCCAGAGCCUGAAUCAGCAUGUGUGUUAGUGGAAGCGUCUGGAAAGGCGCGCGAUACAGGGUGACAGCCCCGUACACAAAAGCGCAUGUGCUGUGAGCUCGAUGAGUAGGGCGGGACACGUGGUAUCCUGUCUGAAUAUGGGGGGACCAUCCUCCAAGGCUAAAUACUCCUGACUGACCGAUAGUGAACCAGUACCGUGAGGGAAAGGCGAAAAGAACCCCGGCGAGGGGAGUGAAAAAGAACCUGAAACCGUGU
rnacentral:rRNA from 1 species